GAUGAACGCUGGCGGCGUGCCUAAUGCAUGCAAGUCGAGCGAACAGACGAGGAGCUUGCUCCUCUGACGUUAGCGGCGGACGGGUGAGUAACACGUGGAUAACCUACCUAUAAGACUGGGAUAACUUCGGGAAACCGUAGCUAAUACCGGAUAAUAUAUUGAACCGCAUGGUUCAAUAGUGAAAGACGGUUUUGCUGUCACUUAUAGAUGGAUCCGCGCCGCAUUAGCUAGUUGGUAAGGUAACGGCUUACCAAGGCAACGAUGCGUAGCCGACCUGAGAGGGUGAUCGGCCACACUGGAACUGAGACACGGUCCAGACUCCUACGGGAGGCAGCAGUAGGGAAUCUUCCGCAAUGGGCGAAAGCCUGACGGAGCAACGCCGCGUGAGUGAUGAAGGUCUUCGGAUCGUAAAACUCUGUUAUUAGGGAAGAACAAAUGUGUAAGUAACUAUGCACGUCUUGACGGUACCUAAUCAGAAAGCCACGGCUAACUACGUG
rnacentral:rRNA from 1 species